CCGAGCAGCGCUCAGAGGAUGGGGCUGGGGGAUGGGGCUGCUCUGUAGGCGCAGGAGCCUGCAGGGGGAGCGCAGACCUGGCGGACCACGUGAGAGUCCAGAGAAGCCUGCACAGGCGGUCCACGCACAUCACACCUGCCCUGCCUGUGCGCAGCCCAACGCAGUCCCAUGUGCACCUCCCCCAUUCUGGCCGCACAUGCUCUGGGAGAGUAGUGACACUUGGAGCUCUGAGACAGGUGAGCAGAGACAAGGUGGAGCUGCCUGAGCCCCUCCCAGACCAUGCUUCAAAUGCAACAAAGAAGGACAUCAGGAGAUCUCAUCACCACCAGAUUCAUCUCUGACUGAUCUACUCAGACUUGCUGCUGAAGACUGAUGGGGCCCACAGCCCCCAUAUUAAGGGUCUUCUCAGAGACCCAAGCCCCACUAGAGAUCUCAGUCCACAGGACUACAAUCAAGGUUGAGUGGCCCCUACCUGGUCUUCUAGGCAACCCCAACAGUGUUCAAAGUUGCUGAACUGCCAUCCUGUUUGUAUAUCA